rnacentral:rRNA from 1 species
GAUGAACGCUGGCGGCGUGCCUAAUACAUGCAAGUCGAGCGAACAGAUGAGGAGCUUGCUCCUCUGACGUUAGCGGCGGACGGGUGAGUAACACGUGGAUACCCUACCUAUAAGACUGGGAUAACUUCGGGAAACCGGAGCUAAUAGCGGAUAAUAUCUUGAACCGCAUGGUUCAAUAGUGAAAGACGGCGUUGCUGGCACUUAUAGAUGGAUCCGGGCCGCAUGAGCUAGUUGGUAAGGUAACGGCUUACCAAGGGAACGAUGCGUAGCCGACCUGAGAGGGUGAUCGGCGACAUUGGAGGUGAGACACGGACAAGGCGCCUGAGGGAGGGAGCAGUAGGGAAUCUGCGGCAAUGGGCGAGAGCCUGACAGAGCAGCGCCGCGUGAGUGGUGGAAGUCUUCGGAGCGUAAAACUCUGUUAUUAGGGAAGAACAAAUGUGUAAGUAAAUAUGCACGGCUUGACGGUACCUGAUCAGAAAGCCACGGCUAACUACGUG